UGAUUUAAAAUGUGUAAAUUAUAACAGAGAUGAGAACCAUAUAGACUCAUUACGUACGUCACAAUAAAAGUUCGUAAAAGUCAUUGGGUCAAAGUUCGUCUCUUUUCAGGCGACUCAAGCUGCUAAAAAGCCUCGCGCCGACGGCUCCGCCGCCCCAGACGCCUCCGCUCUCCCUGGGCCUUCUCUGCUGCAGCACCAGCCUCUGCUCCACCGAGAACCGGGGGCUAACACGCUACCUCCAGCCGCGCUAGCUACGACCUCGACGGCUAACGCGCUAGCUCCCGCCGCCUCCUCCGCGCCGGCCGUGCCCUCCACCUCCUCUGCCCCUCACCCCCCCGCAGACUGGCACAUCCACCCGCUCCACCCGCCCGGUCUCAGGUCAGAACCGAACACGAGCGGAAAGGACUCCAGUCAGACGCACAAGCUGGACCGCUCCCGAGAGAAGCUAAAGACGGACACGCCAGCGGAGGGGGCGGAGCCUGGCAGCCACAAAGGGAAGGAGAAGAGAGGAGGAGAAAGAGGAGAGAGAGGGGUGGAGAGGAGGGACAAAGAAGGAGAUAUUAAGAGAGAGAAAAAACAUGGCGACAAAGGGAGGCGAGCGAGCGGUCAGAGGGAGGAGCCAAAGCUGAACUUCAGGCCGGAGGGCGGAGCUUCGUCUGACGAGAGCGGCAGAGGUUUGAACCACAGGGGGGCGCCGCUCAGUCCUCUGGGAGACAGCGGGAGUGGCCACGAGAGCGGAGAGAGGGACGGAGGGGGACGGAAGAGGAGUCGCCCGGAGCCAAACCCCAACCCUCACCCCGGCAACCCGCCCCACCCUCAAUCCAGCGGCGGGUACAAGAGCGCCAAGGCGUACAGGACCGCCCACAGCCCGGCAGGUGGACUGAGGGCGGCGCACCUCUUCUCUUCCGGCGAGUCUCCGAGGGACGUGGGCGAACACCGGCACUAACGCCUCCGCAGCCUCCUCAAACCUCCAGAACAGACGCCCCGCCAACGUGUCCCCCGCCGUGUCCCCCGACGUGUCCCCGACAUGUCCCCUGACGCCCCGACUCCCCCAAAUGUGUCCCCCCAAUGUCCCCCAUCGUCAGCGAGUUCUGCCCUGAGUUUCCUUUUGUGGCUCUUUUGUUUUGGAGCAGAGAUGAUCUUUGUUUUGUGCCUGGACUCUCGGUUGUGUUCAGAUGUUUGGUUUUGGCGUCUUUGCUCCUUCAUCUUCAUGUUUGAGUUGAAAGGGAGGAGCAGUGUUUACACUUCCACGGGCGUCCUCACGGUGGCGCUGUUGCUGCUUUUUGUGUGUAUAUAGAGACUUUUCCGGAUCAUUCCUGGACUCUGAGCGUGCCUUUCCAAUGUGCUUUGGAAUCAUAAAAAUAAAGCCAUGUUCCAAAUGUCC
ensembl:lncRNA